GAAGGUAAGCCAUAAAAAGGGUCUAAGCGGGUAUUAACUCCUCCCUUGCCGCUACUACCGAGGCCUAUUGUCCACGAAGUCUGAUCUCUUAACUGGCUUUGGAAAGGCAUACAAAGACUAUUCGAAGACAAUGGGAUUGGUUCUCUUACAGUUCAAUUCCAGGUGAAAAAGAAAGCGCAUUACUCCUUCCAAUAUUCAUUGCCUC
rnacentral:lncRNA from 1 species